AUUGAACGCUGGCGGCAGGCCUAACACAUGCAAGUCGAACGAGUGGCGGACGGGUGAGUAAUGUCUGGGAAACUGCCUGAUGGAGGGGGAUAACUACUGGAAACGGUAGCUAAUACCGCAUACCAUCGUACGUGCCCAGAUGGGAUUAGCUAGUAGGUGGGGUAACGGCUCACCCGGGCGACGAUACCUAGCUGGUCUGAGAGGAUGACCAGCCACACAGUGACUGAGGCACGGUCCAGAGUCCUACGGGAGGCAGCAUUGGGGAAUAUUGCACAAUAGGCGCAAGCCUGAUGCAGCCAUGCCGCGUGUAUGAAGAAGGCCUUCGGGUUGUAAAGUACUUUCAGCGGGGAGGCGUUACCCGCAGAAGAAGCACCGGCUAACUCCGUGCCAGCCGCCGCGGUAAUAC
rnacentral:rRNA from 1 species